UACACCUUUAGGCGCCAGGCAAAAACGUUCCUCUUUAACCAGGCCUUUGGUUGAUUGUCAUUCAAUGGUAUUUAAAAAUGGAGGGUUGGGGGGUAUUUGGUUUCUCUUUUUAUUUUGAUUAUGUAUUCUGUGUUCUUAUAUUGUAAUUUUAUCUUGUGAACUGCCCUGAGACCUCCAGGUAUAGGGCGGUAUAUUAAUUUCAUCAUCACCACCGCCACCACCAUCAUCUAUGGUUCCCAGGCCUCUUGAGGGGAAGCUAAAUGGCUAGGAAUGUGGUGAUGUCUGCCUGAGAUCUUGGUCUUCAGAAUAGACAAUACCAAGAGAUAAGCCAAUGAUCUGAUUCAGUGGAAAGCAGCUCACACGGUCCAUAUUUGCACCUGAGAUUGCUUGCUGGUAAUGGAUCUCGAGGGGUAGGACUUUAAAACAAAUAAAUGAAGUAUAUACCACAUUCCUCUACUUAAUCUCUAUUAGCCAACUCAAAACUCUUUUAGCUUCAUGCAUAGGUAUAUCAAGGUGUUUUGCCUGAAAAGAAGCCCUCAAGUUCAUUUUUAGAUUUCACUGCAGAUAGACUGAGUGACAGUUUCAGGAUGUGUGAACCCAUUUGACAAGUUUCACUGUAAAGCGAUGGAAGGGUGAAUCUGUUAAUUGUGACUUUUCUCAGGUUCUAAUUUUUCUAAUCACAUAUUCUUAACUCUUAAAUUCAGUUUCUUCAUCAGCUUGCUUUUUAAAAAACAAAUAAGCAGUAUUAAAAUCCCUGUGCAUUUCUGCUAGUGUGCACAUUAUUAUGUGCAACUUUGCCUAACAUAUAUCUUUUUGUGAGCAGUUUCCACUGGUAUAUUACAAGUUUGCAUGUUAUUUUCACUAACAGACACAUUCUUGUUCAAACUUCUCCCCCCAAAAAAAUAUAUACCUAUGGUUUUGUAUGCAUUUUUGUUGUUGUUGAAUUGCUUCAUAUUGGUUUGGAGAAGUGUGAAUUUCAAAGUUCCAUUUCAUUUCAUAUAUUGGUUCAGGAAGUACAAAUUAGGUAGGUUUGCAUUACAAAUUUCUCCCCCAUGCAAAAUUGGAACUCAUUAGGUUUACCCUUGAAACUCCCCAGACUUCUUCUUCUUCUUUAACAACGAUUUCCACUUGAAAGUUUACUUUAGCUGACAUUUUGAUGACAACCUUAAACUAAUAUGCAACGUUCAGCCUGGCAUUAGUGAAGGCUGGUAAGCUGGGACGAGCCAUAACACAAUGAAGCCAAGAGCUUAAUUUCCUCCUUAUCUAAGCAAUACAGCAAGCCAGGCACAGAUUUUAGGGAAAGAAAUGGAGAGCCUCUUGCAGGUGCAUGGAAACACUAAGUGCUAGUAUGCCAUCUGCACCUGGCUAAUUACAGAGAUCACUGGGGAAAUCCAAAAGCAUUUUUUUCACCCUGAUCCCAGAAUGAGCAGGUUUCAACUUCUCAAGCACCAGAAAAGGAUUGUAGUUAAUGGUCCAUGUAAAGCAUCAAGGCUGGGAUCUUCCCAAAUCUGGUGUCUACUGGCAAUGCAACAGCCCAAACAUCUGCAUGCCAAAGACGUACAGAUGUUCAUUCACUGGGGCCUCAGAACAACAUUGUAAAUGAUCGCUGGAUGGGGGGGGGGCUCAAUGGAAAGAUAACGCUUUUGUAACAAUAAAAUGGUAGAGAGAUGUCUUACAAUUAGGGAAGGGAGAGCAAAGGUAAUAUGGAUUGGGGGAUUAGAAUCUGCACUAGUUAAGUUUGGGGAAAGCCACAAUAAAUAUUUUCCUUUCAUUUAAAUGGUGAGUUAUUUUACAAAAUAGGGAAGAAGCACAUACAUGGAGAGCAGGGGUAAAGAUCAGCAUUUGGGAAAGGAGGAGCAGAGAUCAACGUGGGGAAGCAGUGGGUGUGAAGAUCAACACUGGUAAAGUUGCAGCUUCUCCUUCUCCACCUUCUCUACUGGCCAUCCCUCUCCAGCCUCACUGAAAAGAAGGCAGAGUUGUUCCUUCACAGAGGCCUGAGGUAGAAAAGGAGGCCAAAGCCAAACCAGAACCAGAGGCCAAAGAGGGAGAGGGGCGACAACGGGCAGCAGCUGGAGGAAGCGUUAAGGGGAAGUGGCACCUAUGGGGAUCAGCUGCCUUGCAGUCACCUCGUGGCCUAGUGGUUGAGUAUGUCCUGCCUUUAGGUUGUGAGGUAGGUUUUAUCUCCUCACAGAAAAAAGAAAGGGAGGAGGGUUUCUCUGGGAAACGAAGCUCCUGAGAAUGUUUGGAGAUGGGUUCCUGAGCCAGCUUAUCAAAAAAUACACUCCCCCCCCCUUCAUAGUUUAGAUUCACCAGAGGCGGAUGUACUAUGAAACCAAGGAAGCUUAAGCUACAGGGCACCUAAUCCCAGAGGGGCACCAGGGGCAUUAGUCCACAUUGCCUAAUUUUUUUUUUGGGGGGGGGGGGUCCAGUAGACUCAAUUUGAGCCGCACAACUCGGAAACUAUAAGGCAUAGGACAUUUUUAUUCACAUCAGUGACUUCGACAUAUGAGAUAAUCCAGUACAACAAUUUUAAUCAAAAUCUGAGAUGCAGUCAUUAUUUUCUUUAAAGAAUUGUGGUGAUCUGUCGUGGAAUAACCCAACUGAAGAAGAUAACAGUGGUUACCUGGACCUGGUUGCUGGUUGUGAAGGGGCCCCCAUAACAGUUUAAGCUUCUGGGCCUCAAACAUGUAGGUCCACCACUGAGGGUCAUCCAGAUCUUGGGCUCCCCAGGUUCAUGAGCCCCAUCUGCCCCUCACUUCCCUCUGCAGCAUGUACAGAAACCACCUUCUUGAGCAUUGGACCCACUAUUGGUCUCAUCUGCUCAAUCCACCAGAGCCUGUCUUUCCAUGCAGAGGAAGUCCCCAGCUCACCAAGGAUUUGAGACUCAUUGGGACGGCUACCCUCACUAGUCGAAGCCAUUCCGAAGGGGUGGCUGCUGUCAUUGACAGCUUCUAGAAGCCACAGGUGAGAGUUGAGUGCAGGGUGGGGACCAAACGUGUACAAACUACUCCAGAAGGAGCACAGUAUGUCCCCCACCAGAAGUACUACCCCUGCCCUAAUUCCCCAUACACCCCAUUGCUGGAUCCAGGAACCCAGAAAUUACAAGAGCCACAGGCAUCAUGCAGACUGAUCAUCCCCAUCCAAACACAGAACAAUCCUUGGGGAAUGCCAAGUUGUGCCUAAAUAUCAUGGAAAUAGACAUUGCAAAGAAGAGUGAUGUAUUUGUGUGGUCUUGCUAUGAAUUUUAAAUGGGGAAUAAUUGACCUCUCCCCUCCAACAUCAGUGUUUUAAUCCUGGCUCAAGACUUCCUUAAGGGAGGGUUAAUCACUCAGUGAGAGAACACCUGCUUUCUACACAGGUUCAGUUCCUGGCCCCUCUGGAUCAGCUAUCAGGUGAUAGGAACGACGCCUUUCUCUUCUAGUAACCUUGAUGAGCAUGUGCCAGUCAGAGUAAUUUAUGCUGGACAAAUAGUCUUGAAUAAAGUGCCUUCCCAUACUUUCCACCCUUUAGGACAAGAGGCAUGAACUGAGUUGUGAUGAAUGUGGGGGCACCUAAACUUUUCCUCCACUAUCGUAAAACACAGCAGAUUCCUAUGUCUGUUUUCUAGUCCGUCUUCUCAGACCCAGACACACA